AUUGAACGCUGGCGGAAUGCUUUACACAUGCAAGUCGAACGGCAGCACGGGGGCAGCCCUGGUGGCGAGUGGCGAACGGGUGAGUAAUACAUCGGAACGUGCCCGGUCGUGGGGGAUAACGUAGCGAAAGUUACGCUAAUACCGCAUACGAUCUGAGGAUGAAAGCGGGGGACCUUCGGGCCUCGCGCUAUCGGAGCGGCCGAUGUCAGAUUAGGUAGUUGGUGGGGUAAAGGCCUACCAAGCCGACGAUCUGUAGCUGGUCUGAGAGGACGACCAGCCACACUGGGACUGAGACACGGCCCAGACUCCUACGGGAGGCAGCAGUGGGGAAUUUUGGACAAUGGGCGCAAGCCUGAUCCAGCCAUUCCGCGUGCAGGACGAAGGCCUUCGGGUUGUAAACUGCUUUUGUACGGAACGAAAAGGAUCUGGCUAAUACCUGGGGGUCAUGACGGUACCGUAAGAAUAAGCACCGGCUAACUACGUG
rnacentral:rRNA from 1 species